GACGAACGCUGGCGGCGUGCUUAACACAUGCAAGUCGAACGGAAAGGCCCUGCUUUUGUGGGGUGCUCGAGUGGCGAACGGGUGAGUAACACGUGAGUAACCUGCCCUUGACUUUGGGAUAACUUCAGGAAACUGGGGCCAAUACCGGAUAGGAGCUCCUGCUGCAUGGUGGGGGUUGGAAAGUUUCGGCGGUUGGGGAUGGACGCGCGGCUUAUCAGCUUGUUGGCGGGGUAGUGGCUUACCAAGGCUUUGACGGGUAGCCGGCCUGAGAGGGGGACCGGCCACAUUGGGACUGAGAUACGGCCCAGACUCCUACGGGAGGCAGCAGUGGGGAGUAUUGCACAAUGAGCGGAAGCCUGGUGCAGCAGCGCCGCGUGCGGGAUGACGGCCUUCGGGUUGUAAACCGCUUUCGCCUGUGACGAAGCGUGAGUGACGGUAAUGGGUGAAGAAGCACCGGCUAACUACGUG
rnacentral:rRNA from 1 species